UACGGAGGGUGCAAGCGUUAUCCGGAUUCACUGGGUUUAAAGGGUGCGUAGGCGGAUUGGUAAGUCCGUGGUGAAAUCUCUAAGUUUAACUUGGAAACUGCCAUGGAUACUAUUAGUCUUGAAUAUUGUGGAGGUUAGCGGAAUAUGUCAUGUAGCGGUGAAAUGCAUAGAUAUGACAUAGAACACCAAUUGCGAAGGCAGCUGGCUACACAAAUAUUGACGCUGAUGCACGAAAGCGUGGGGAUCAAACAGG
rnacentral:rRNA from 1 species